rnacentral:lncRNA from 13 species
GGAAGGCUGGGUGCCAGAGACACUCCACAGAGCAAUGCCAUCCUUCCAAGGAAAGACUGUCUCCAAAGAAUGAGAAAGGACAGAUGACCACAGAUUGUUCUGGAACAUAAGCCCAAGAGUCAGGCUGCAAGAGAAGGCUGAAGAGAAAAUUUGUCCCGACUCUUUAAAAGAAGGAAGUGUAACAACGUCAUGAAAACCAUGGAGAGACGGAGAAACUUCUACAGACUAGAGGAGAAUGAAGAAACAUGACAACUAAAUGUAAUAUGGCACCUUGGAUUGGAUCCUUGGACAGAAAGAUGGCGUGAAAGAAAAAAUUCAAAUAAAGCAUGGGGUUCGGGUUGGUACCUGACUGGCAGACAGAUUUACAAAAUAGGAAGCACUGGGCUCUGGAAUCAGACUCAAGGUUUGAAUCUGAAAUUUGCCAUUUCUUACAUUUGUGAUUUUGGUUGAUUUAAUCUCUCUGAACUCAGGUUACUUGCCUGUCAAAUAAGUAUAUCUUUUCUUCUAGGGUGCUUUGAACAUCAAUU